CUUGACCUCAUUUACAUUGUUCAUUAGUAAAAGUUAAGUUUUUGUGGAUCAGUUUGUUUUUUCUCAUCCUGUUGCAAAAAAGUUAACUGUUUUGGUGUAUGGAAUGAUUGUAUGGUGUACAUGUCCGACUGGCAAGACUUGAUUUUAUUGUUAUAUUGAUCCUCAUUAGGUUUUCAUUUAUUAGUUUGUUUCUCUGAUAAAAGCAGUAGGUUAUCUAAUGUGGUAUGAAAUGAUUAUAAGGUGUUGGUUGUCUGGCAUAUCUCAUCUGACCUCAUUUACAUUGAUCAUUGAUGUAUAAAGUUUAUGUUAAUUAUACUUUUAUUUAAACCCUUUCAAAAUUUACAAAAGACUAUCAAGUUUGUGAAAUCAACUCUUCCCUCAAUCCAGAUCUUUUAAACCUCACAGAAAGAAAGAAUAUAACAACAUUUAAGUUGCAACCAGCCAUGAUAUAAAAGCUUGUAAUAAUUUUUCUUAACCUGUAUCUUUUGAAUUUCAGAGAGUUCGUAUAAAACCUAUUGUCCAUCGUAGUUCUUUAAAGAUAUAUCCCACUUCAAUGUUCAGUUAAGACCUUUCUACAUUGUUAAAGAAACAUUAUGUAUGCAACUCAGUCAUCUGAGUCUGUCAUAUAUAUUUUUUUUUAAAUAUCAUACUUUAUUAUAAAUAUAAAAGUAAGAAGAUGCGGUAUGGUUGCCAAUGAAUCAACUCUCUACCAGAGCCUAAAUGAAAUAGAAAUUAGCUAUUUAGUAUAGACUAAAGGUCACUGCAGGGCCUCAAUUAUACACAAAAUUUGUGCUACAUAUCAAGCUUGUAAGAGCCCUGAAAUGACAAUGAAAAAAAACCUACCCAGAAAACUAACAGCCUGAUUAUGUUGAAAAAAAACACCAGAAAAACAGAUAUGUUAUACAGCAAACAACCAACUAAUUACAGGCUCCUAUCUUGACACAUAUAGAAUUUAGUGUAGAUGAACAUGUUUGCAGAAACCCAACCCUCUCUAACCUUAGACCCAGGUGUUACAGCACAACAUAUUAAAGAACAGACAUACAAAAUAGUUGAAAAUGGAUUAACUUGUCAGAUCCAUACAGCAUAAAGCAAAUCAAUCAAAGAAGAAAUAAAUCACUAAAUAUAAUUGUAGGGAAUGGUAUGUUUAUUGGCAAUAGCAUAUUUUUAUAGGAAAAAAAUGUCAUAAAACAUAAAAAAGACUAGGUUGAUUAUAUAAAAAAAAACAUGAUAUGCAUUAUGGUAUUGUAAAGCCCCUUUAAUAUUGGCUGAAUAUGCGAGAGAUGUGUUGGUUUUAUUCUAUAUGACAGCAACCUAAUGAUUCAAAUAUUCUAAAGACAUUUAUACCUUGUAAAAUUAUUUAAAGUUUGGGAAACUGCACGAGAAGUGUUUUCUUUUCUCUUGAUAAUAGCAACAAAGACAGUGGGGGAGGGGGUCUGGUGGUUGGGCCCCCCUUUUAAAAUUGUCUGGAUCCGCCCCUGAAAGAUGAAUUGAUAAUUUCCUUUAUUAAACUCUUCAAAAACAACAAUAAGAAAAACUUUCUACCAGCAACUAAAUAAGUUUAAAGUAAUCAACUAAGCAAUCUUUAUUGACCCUUCAAAUUAUAGACUACCAUAUUUUAUGCUCUGGGCCUCUGUGUUGGUAUUAUCAAGAUAAAGACUACACUUUCCAUCUAGGUGUUCAAACUGACCCAACAAAUAUUAUUUACAUGAGCAUUACUGACGUGUUUAGUUAAAUUAAGAGGCCCAACACAAAAUUUAUUAGCCUGGGCUACUGUUUUUUCCCUGUAGCAAGAAAACCUGUCAAACAGCAAACACAUUCUUAAUUCUGUUUGUAAAUCAAAGAUUAUCUCCCUUUCGUGAAUCUGAAUUUUUAACCGACAUUCUAAAACAUAAUUUUAUCUCUGAAGAGUUAAGUUUAAUUUUAAAAUCAACAAGCGUACCUUGAUUUUUUUUCUAAUACUCUUGGGGUCACAUAUUUGCAUGAAUGAAAAAGGUUAAUCAUUGCUACCUGCAUAUAGGUAGAAAACCCUUAUCUUGCACAACAAUGUUCUAAUUGUUCCUUAAAUAUUUGCUGAUUUCUUUGUAUCCGAAACAAGUAUCCUGAUUCAACAAUGCUGGAAUUUGCUGGAAGAUCAAGACUGGAUGUCGAGAAAGACAGAAGAUCAUCUAACGAAGUGAAAAUGGGUUGAUGUUUCCAUCGAAGGUUGGUGAUGACUGCCAUUUCCAUGACACUUUUAAUCAAAGAGACCGUCCUGUCUCAAGUUAAGAUUUGUGAUCCAUCAUGAAGACCAUUUUGUCUGAGAUGCACACAGACUGCAGUAUGUCACUUGCUUCAGACUUUUGACCUAGUGUGAUGGUUUACAAUUACAUGAAAUGUUUCCCAGAUGUUUUCAUUAUGACAGUGUUAAUGGAAGACUGGCACAUUGUAAUAAGAGUUAAUUUCAAUCAGAUGUAUAGUUCAGGUAAAUGAUAAAUAUUAUACUGAAUAAAUAUCAAAUUGAUGGUUAUAACUGAAUUACAUUCUUUUGGGUUUUGUUUUCAAAAUGAAAAGAAAGAAUUUAUAUAUAUAUCAAAAUGGCAUAUUUUAAUUGCCAGAUAAAUGCCAUAUUUAUCCAACCAUUUGUUUUUAUUUCAUUACACAAUUUGUUUACUUUCAUAAUACAUAUGAAUUUA